GUGGGGAAUAUUGGGCAAUGGGCGCAAGCCUGACCCAGCAACGCCGCGUGAAGGAAGAAGGCUUUCGGGUUGUAAACUUCUUUUAGCAGGGACGAAGGACGUGACGGUACCUGCAGAAUAAGCUCCGGCUAACUACGUGCCAGCAGCCGCGGUAAUACGUAGGGAGCAAGCGUUAUCCGGAUUUACUGGGUGUAAAGGGCGCGUAGGCGGGGAUGCAAGUCAGAUGUGAAAUCCCGAGGCUCAACCUCGGAACUGCAUUUGAAACUGUAUUUCUUGAGUGAUGGAGAGGCAGGCGGAAUUCCUAGUGUAGCGGUGAAAUGCGUAGAUAUUAGGAGGAACACCAGUGGCGAAGGCGGCCUGCUGGACAUUAACUGACGCUGAGGCGCGAAAGCGUGGGGAGCAAACAGGA
rnacentral:rRNA from 1 species